AGAGGAAGCCGGUGCGAGUCCGGCGCGGUCCCGCCACUGUGACCGGACACCCCGCGCGGGGGUGACCGGAAGUCAGGAGACUC
rfam:Kitasatospora griseola strain MF730-N6 RKJC_2, whole genome shotgun sequence.